rnacentral:rRNA from 1 species
GACGAACGCUGGCGGCGUGCUUAACACAUGCAAGUCGAACGAUGAACCUCGAAAUGAUUUCUUCGGAAAGAUUUUUGAGAGGAUUAGUGGCGAACGGGUGAGUAACGCGUGAGCAACCUGCCUUAGACAAGGGGAUAGCCUCGGGAAACCGUGAUUAAUACCCUAUGAGACUCCACUUACGAGUGUAAGAGAAGUUAAAGCUAUUGCGGUCUAAGAUGGGCUCGCGUCUGAUUAGCUAGUUGGUGAGAUAAAAGCCCACCAAGGCGACGAUCAGUAACCGGUUUGGGAGAGGGAACGGUACAAUUGGAACUGGGCCACGGUCCAAACCCCUCGGGAGGGCGGCAUUGGGGAAAAUUGAACGGGGGGGCAACCCUGAUGCAGCGACGCCGCGUGAGCGAUGAAGGAAUUCGUUUCGUAAAGCUCUGUCCUUGGAGAAGAUAAUGACGGUAACCAAGGAGGAAGCACCGGCUAAAUACGUG